GGGCUCGCAGGCGGUUUCUUAAGUCUGAUGUGAAAGCCCCCGGCUCAACCGGGGAGGGUCAUUGGAAACUGGGGAACUUGAGUGCAGAAGAGGAGAGUGGAAUUCCACGUGUAGCGGUGAAAUGCGUAGAGAUGUGGAGGAACACCAGUGGCGAAGGCGACUCUCUGGUCUGUAACUGACGCUGAGGAGCGAAAGCGUGGGGAGCGAACAGGAUUAGAUACCCUGGUAGUCCACGCCGUAAACGAUGAGUGCUAAGUGUUAGGGGGUUUCCGCCCCUUAGUGCUGCAGCUAACGCAUUAAGCACUCCGCCUGGGGAGUACGGUCGCAAGACUGAAACUCAAAGGAAUUGACGGGGGCCCGCACAAGCGGUGGAGCAUGUGGUUUAAUUCGAAGCAACGCGAAGAACCUUACCAGGUCUUGACAUCCUCUGACAAUCCUAGAGAUAGGACGUCCCCUUCGGGGGCAGAGUGACAGGUGGUGCAUGGUUGUCGUCAGCUCGUGUCGUGAGAUGUUGGGUUAAGUCCCGCAACGAGCGCAACCCUUGAUCUUAGUUGCCAGCAUUCAGUUGGGCACUCUAAGGUGACUGCCGGUGACAAACCGGAGGAAGGUGGGGAUGACGUCAAAUCAUCAUGCCCCUUAUGACCUGGGCUACACACGUGCUACAAUGGACAGAACAAAGGGCAGCGAAACCGCGAGGUUAAGCCAAUCCCACAAAUCUGUUCUCAGUUCGGAUCGCAGUCUGCAACUCGACUGCGUGAAGCUGGAAUCGCUAGUAAUCGCGGAUCA
rnacentral:rRNA from 1 species